rnacentral:lncRNA from 1 species
AGUCCGGAAAGCAUCGCUCACCUUUUCUUCUCGUGCCAAAAAGCCGAUGAAAUCUGGUUUGAUCUCGUUCGAUGGCUCGGAAAACAGACAACACUUCAUUCAGAAGCGAAAGAUCAUCUUUUCGCUUUUGUCAAUCUGGGAAACAAAAAGGAAAAACAGUUUCUCACCGGUGUUUGGAUAUGCACGGUUUGGUGCUUAUGGAAAGGAAGAAAUGAAGGCAAGUUCAAACAACGAACAUGGCACAAAGAUAAGAUGAUCGCCGAGAUUAAGUCGAGGCUUUGGGGUUGGAUGGAGGCGUACAAGAUCCCGACAAAUGUCUCCGAUUUCAGGACCUGGUUUUCUAGUGCUCAUCUUCAUGGUUAAAGUCG